rnacentral:rRNA from 1 species
GACGAACGCUGGCGGCGUGCUUAACACAUGCAAGUCGAGCGGUAAGGCCCUUUCGGGGGUACACGAGCGGCGAACGGGUGAGUAACACGUGGGUGACCUGCCCUCAGCUCUGGGAUAAGCCCGGGAAGCUGGGUCUAAUACCGGAUAUGACUCCAUGACGCAUGUUGUGGGGUGGAAAGCCUUGUGCGGCUGAGGAUGGGCCCGCGGCCUAUCAGCUUGUUGGUGGGGUGAUGGCCUACCAAGGCGACGACGGGUAGCCGGCCUGAGAGGGCGACCGGCCACACUGGGACUGAGAUACGGCCCAGACUCCUACGGGAGGCAGCAGUGGGGAAUCUUGCGCAAUGGGCGAAAGCCUGACGCAGCGACGCCGCGUGAGGGAUGACGGCCU